rnacentral:rRNA from 1 species
UACGAAGGGGGCUAGCGUUGCUCGGAAUCACUGGGCGUAAAGCGCACGUAGGCGGCUUCUUAAGUCAGGGGUGAAAUCCUGGAGCUCAACUCCAGAACUGCCUUUGAUACUGGGAGGCUCGAGUCCGGAAGAGGUGAGUGGAACUGCGAGUGUAGAGGUGAAAUUCGUAGAUAUUCGCAAGAACACCAGUGGCGAAGGCGGCUCACUGGCCCGGUACUGACGCUGAGGUGCGAAAGCGUGGGGAGCAAACAGG